UUUAAUAUGGCAGACUAAGUGCAAUGGAUUUAAACCCCAUAAAUAAAGUUAUCUCAUUCUUUUAUUAAAA
rnacentral:tRNA from 5 species